GGGGAGGGAGGGAGAGCCUGAGCGCUGGAGUUGGUGCUGGGAAACCCGGGGCUAAUGUUGACAACAGGCACUAGUUUUUAGGUGUUCAUAAAAGUCGUACAAAUCAUCGGGCAAGCCUUUAUUGAGCUGUGGUGAAAUUUCUGAAAAAUUUGAUGCGGAGGAUUGAAUGAAUUUAGGGCCUAAGACAUGCUUGUGCACUGAGCUGCAUCCCCAAUGGAGGUCAGAUGACAACCUGUAGGAAUUGGUUCUCGUAUUCCAUCCACUGUGGGU